GAUGAACGCUAGCUACAGGCUUAACACAUGCAAGUCGAGGGGCAGCAUGGUCUUAGCUUGCUAAGGCCGAUGGCGACCGGCGCACGGGUGAGUAACACGUAUCCAACCUGCCGUCUACUCUUGGACAGCCUUCUGAAAGGAAGAUUAAUACAAGAUGGCAUCAUGAGUCCACAUGUUCACAUGAUUAAAGGUAUUCCGGUAGACGAUGGGGAUGCGUUCCAUUAGAUAGUAGGCGGGGUAACGGCCCACCUAGUCUUCGAUGGAUAGGGGUUCUGAGAGGAAGGUCCCCCACAUUGGAACUGAGACACGGUCCAAACUCCUACGGGAGGCAGCAGUGAGGAAUAUUGGUCAAUGGGCGAGAGCCUGAACCAGCCAAGUAGCGUGAAGGAUGACUGCCCUAUGGGUUGUAAACUUCUUUUAUAAAGGAAUAAAGUCGGGUAUGGAUACCCGUUUGCAUGUACUUUAUGAAUAAGGAUCGGCUAACUCCGUGCCAGCAGCCGCGGUAAUACGGAGGAUCCGAGCGUUAUCCGGAUUUAUUGGGUUUAAAGGGAGCGUAGAUGGAUGUUUAAGUCAGUUGUGAAAGUUUGCGGCUCAACCGUAAAAUUGCAGUUGAUACUGGAUAUCUUGAGUGCAGUUGAGGCAGGCGGAAUUCGUGGUGUAGUGGUGAAAUGCUUAGAUAUCACGAAGAACUCCGAUUGCGAAGGCAGCCUGCUAAGCUGCAACUGACAUUGAGGCUCGAAAGUGUGGGUAUCAAACAGGAUUAGAUACCCUGGUAGUCCACACGGUAAACGAUGAAUACUCGCUGUUUGCGAUAUACAGCAAGCGGCCAAGCGAAAGCGUUAAGUAUUCCACCUGGGGAGUACGCCGGCAACGGUGAAACUCAAAGGAAUUGACGGGGGCCCGCACAAGCGGAGGAACAUGUGGUUUAAUUCGAUGAUACGCGAGGAACCUUACCCGGGCUUAAAUUGCAGAUGAAUUACGGUGAAAGCCGUAAGCCGCAAGGCAUCUGUGAAGGUGCUGCAUGGUUGUCGUCAGCUCGUGCCGUGAGGUGUCGGCUUAAGUGCCAUAACGAGCGCAACCCUUGUUGUCAGUUACUAACAGGUUCCGCUGAGGACUCUGACAAGACUGCCAUCGUAAGAUGUGAGGAAGGUGGGGAUGACGUCAAAUCAGCACGGCCCUUACGUCCGGGGCUACACACGUGUUACAAUGGGGGGUACAGAGGGCCGCUACCACGCGAGUGGAUGCCAAUCCCAAAAACCUCUCUCAGUUCGGACUGGAGUCUGCAACCCGACUCCACGAAGCUGGAUUCGCUAGUAAUCGCGCAUCAGCCACGGCGCGGUGAAUACGUUCCCGGGCCU
rnacentral:rRNA from 1 species